rnacentral:rRNA from 1 species
GCUGAAAGCAUCUAAGCACGAAACUUGCCCCGAGAUGAGUUCUCCCUGACCCUUUAAGGGUCCUGAAGGAACGUUGAAGACGACGACGUUGAUAGGCCGGGUGUGUAAGCGCAGCGAUGCGUUGAGCUAACCGGUACUAAUGAACCGUGAGGCUUAACCUUACAACGCCGAAGGUGUUU